rnacentral:ncRNA from 1 species
AAAGUUCAAUACGGAGAAGAAGUGGCGAAUCACUCUGACCCCGAGUCAUGCGGGGCACAUCGCGAGGUGUGCGUCGAAGCGUUGACAGGGGAAACCGGCAGGCCGGCCAUAGAGCCGCGAAAUGAUCAGUUCGGGAUGCCGACGCUGUUAAGCGAAGCGGAAGGCAACACGGUGCAUGGCGUCAAUCGCAAGCCAUGCCCCGAUCCCGCGCGGUCGGAGACCC